GACGAACGCUGGCGGCGUGCUUAACACAUGCAAGUCGAACGGAAAGGCCCUGCUUUUGUGGGGUGCUCGAGUGGCGAACGGGUGAGUAACACGUGAGUAACCUGCCCUUGACUUUGGGAUAACUUCAGGAAACUGGGGCUAAUACCGGAUAGGAGCUCCUGCUGCAUGGUGGGGGUUGGAAAGUUUCGGCGGUUGGGGAUGGACUCGCGGCUUAUCAGCUUGUUGGUGGGGUAGUGGCUUACCAAGGCUUUGACGGGUAGCCGGCCUGAGAGGGUGACCGGACACAUGGGGACUGAGAUACGGCCCAGACUCCUACGGGAGGCAGCAGUGGGGAAUAUUGCACAAUGGGCGGAAGCCUGAUGCAGCAACGCCGCGUGCGGGAUGACGGCCUUCGGGUGGUAAACCGCUUUCGCCUGUGACGAAGCGUGAGUGACGGUAAUGGGGAAAGAAGCACCGGCUAACUACGU
rnacentral:rRNA from 1 species